CAGACAUUUAAUACAUGCUAUAUAUUCAAAUAACUUUCUCUCCUUCCUAUUAACCCUCUGUAAGAAAGGGGGGCAAGAACCCUCUGUGUGUGCAGUGGUGGUGGAGAGUUUAGUUUAAAAUGGUUUAAGUAGAGUUAUGCUGCAAGAUGCUGAGCAGUUCAAAAAGACAGGUUCAGCCUGCAUGUGGCUAUUUUCUAUUCAAGUAACUUGAGGGAGGGAAUAUUUUCUGGUUUGCCUUGGACAGUGAGAACCUUUGCACUUAAUGCAAGUUAGAAGUUUUCUCUACAGACUUCGUACAGGCUUCAAGAACUCUCUGGGAGCUGCAGUACCAUGCUCUUGCUAUUCCUUCCUGCCUUCAGGUUUUACAUAACAUGAGGUUGACUCACUCCCUCCAGCCUUCUAUAUUACAUCCUUCCUGGAGGCCACAGAGUAUUUUGGGAAUGGAAACCUGCCAUGAUGGACUCAAAGCUUUAGUCCCAGAUUUACUGCAACAUGGUGUGCUGUUGAUUUCUCACAAAAGUUACCAGAAGCGGAGCUCUGAGAAACUUUUGCUCCAAAAGAAAUGACGUGAUUACAGCUCAGAAGCUAAGGAAGCUGCCAAAAACCAUAAGGCAACAACUUCUCAUGAGAGACCAUAAAGGACAGCCUGUUAAUCAAUAGUCUAAUGACAUUUUGUGGCAAAGUGGAGGGAGCAGAGCUGAGACUACAACUUAAAAUGUUCCUGUACUUUGUUGUUCACUAUUUCUAUGUUGAUUGUUAGAAUUUGCUGUUAGCUACAUCUCUUGGUCCAACUUUUGCAUAGCAUGUUUUUGUCAGGGUGAUAUGCUCACUUGAUAACAGGGCUUUUUCCUCCAUGGUAGGCAGGGUUGAAUAUUGUGGUUGAGAAACAGCAUGCAGACAGUGUGGCUGAAGAACAGUUAACUCUUUAACCAGCCUCAAUGCAUUUAGAAAGGUACUUCUGGUUGAGACAGAACUCUUCUGACUGCUGUCUUAGCCAGUGUUGUGUUUAGUUAUGAUCUUCAUUCAGAAGAUACUUCCUUCAGGAAAGAAGCUUAAGAUGUAACAGUCAUGGGUAGUCAUUAUCUUUCUGGAGGUAACAGAUUAACAUGGUGAUAGUAACAUUACAAAGAAUCUGAAAUAAUUGCUUGCAGUGAUUAAAAGGACUUUUUUUUUUGACAGUUUCCCCCCAAGUUUUCUAUGUGAUAAAACAUUUUACAAUUACAGUUUCUGGUCUGACACUUUUGCUGUGACAAUUAACUGACUGUAAUUAAUAAGGCAGCAUGAGAAUUAUAUAGACCACACAAAUAAGGCAGUUACUGCGUUAGCUGCUAAAAUAAAUCUUUGAUAAGUGACA
rnacentral:lncRNA from 1 species